GUUAAGCGACUAAGCGUACACGGUGGAUGCCCUGGCAGUCAGAGGCGAUGAAGGACGUGCUAAUCUGCGAUAAGCGUCGGUAAGGUGAUAUGAACCGUUAUAACCGGCGAUUUCCGAAUGGGGAAACCCAGUGUGAUUCGUCACACUAUCAUUAACUGAAUCCAUAGGUUAAUGAGGCGAACCGGGGGAACUGAAACAUCUAAGUACCCCGAGGAAAAGAAAUCAACCGAGAUUCCCCCAGUAGCGGCGAGCGAACGGGGAGCAGCCCAGAGCCUGAAUCAGUGUGUGUGUUAGUGGAAGCGUCUGGAAAGGCGCGCGAUACAGGGUGACAGCCCCGUACACAAAAAUGCACAUGCUGUGAGCUCGAUGAGUAGGGCGGGACACGUGGUAUCCUGUCUGAAUAUGGGGGGACCAUCCUCCAAGGCUAAAUACUCCUGACUGACCGAUAGUGAACCAGUACCGUGAGGGAAAGGCGAAAAGAACCCCGGCGAGGGGAGUGAAAAAGAACCUGAAACCGUGUACGUACAAGCAGUGGGAGCACGCUUAGGCGUGUGACUGCGUACCUUUUGUAUAAUGGGUCAGCGACUUAUAUUCUGUAGCAAGGUUAACCGAAUAGGGGAGCCGAAGGGAAACCGAGUCUUAACUGGGCGUUAAGUUGCAGGGUAUAGACCCGAAACCCGGUGAUCUAGCCAUGGGCAGGUUGAAGGUUGGGUAACACUAACUGGAGGACCGAACCGACUAAUGUUGAAAAAUUAGCGGAUGACUUGUGGCUGGGGGUGAAAGGCCAAUCAAACCGGGAGAUAGCUGGUUCUCCCCGAAAGCUAUUUAGGUAGCGCCUCGUGAAUUCAUCUCCGGGGGUAG
rnacentral:rRNA from 1 species